rnacentral:rRNA from 1 species
AUUGAACGCUGGCGGCAGGCCUAACACAUGCAAGUCGAGCGAGCGGCGGACGGGUGAGUAAUGCCUGGGGACUGCCCGUUAGAGGGGGAUAACUACUGGAAACGGUGGCUAAUACCGCAUACUAUCGGAUAACCCAUAUGGGAUUAGCUAGUAGGUGGGGUAAAGGCUCACCUAGGCGACGAUCUCUAGCUGGUCUGAGAGGAUGAUGGGCCACAUUGGGACUGAGACACGGCCCAGACUCCUACGGAGGCAGCAUUGGGGAAUAUUGCACAAGGGGCGCAAGCCUGAUGCAGCCAUGCCGCGGGUAUGAAGAAGGCCUUCGGUUUGUAAAGUACGUUCAGUCGGGAGGCGUUACCGGCAGAAGAAGCACCGGCUAACUCCGUGCCAGCAGCCGCGGUAAUAC